UACAGAGGUCCCAAGCGUUGUUCGGAUUCAUUGGGCGUAAAGGGUGUGUAGGUGGCGCCGUAAGUCGGGUGUGAAAUCUCGGGGCUUAACUCCGAAACUGCAUUCGAUACUGCGGUGCUUGAGGACUGGAGAGGAGACUGGAAUUUACGGUGUAGCGGUGAAAUGCGUAGAUAUCGUAAGGAAGACCAGUGGCGAAGGCGGGUCUCUGGCCCGAUACUGACGCUGAGGUGCGAAAGCGUGGGGAGCAAACAGG
rnacentral:rRNA from 1 species